UUAUUAUGUCAGACAUUACGGAAAGAGACUAAAAACUUAUUCAAACUAACAACCUCCCCUCUAUAGUAGCAACAGCUAGAGUUUUAUUCAAAAUAUCUAAUAACUUCCGUCUCACCUGCACUGCUAAUGGCUCUCUUCCGCAAUCGCACUCGCACUCGUACUGCCACCCACGCACCCUUCAUUGAUCGUUCCAUACCUCUCAUUUCAACAUCAAAUUCUCUGCAUCAUGUUUCAACACCUUAUGACUCACUUCAUCACUCGCACUCGCAGUCAACUCGUCCCAGUCACGCCCUUCAUUCAUCGCCCUAAAUCUCUCCUCGCGCCCCCAAUUUCUUGUUCCCAAACCCUAUCUUCCCUCCAAUUCUCCACCGAUACCUCCGCCUUCUCCCACCACCCGAUCAGGCUCCCGGAGGAUCUAUCCAGAAACGUGACCGUCCUCUCGUGUGAGUCUUCAGCCGAAGGCGGCGUCUGCCACGUUUACUUGCUCGGAACCUCUCAUGUCUCUAAGGAAUCAAGCAGAGAAGCUCAGGCUAUAGUGAAAUUUCUGAAACCGCAGGUUGUCUUCCUAGAGUUGUGCUCCAGUCGUGCUUCAAUUCUUACCCGUAAAAAUCUCAAGAUACACGUACCCACUGACGAAGAAAUGGUUACAAUGUUGAAGAGAAAACAUCACAUGUUUGAAGUACUUUAUGGCUGGUGCUGUGCCAAGAGAGCUAGUGAGCUUGAUGUCCUUCCUGGAAAUGAGUUUCGUGUGGCAUAUCAAGAAGCCAUCAAGUAUGGCGCCAAAGUGAUACUUGGUGAUCGCCCUAUACAUAUUACACUCAGGAGAACAUGGAGUAAGAUGCCACUUUGGUAUAUACUUAAAUUGUUAUAUUUUAAACUUUUCUGUCGACAACAUUUUCCCAUCUCUGGUGGUUUUAAGAAAAAGGAAAUGAAUAAGGAGUUUCCAACUUUAAUGGAGACUCUUGUGCAUGAACGGGAUCAGGUUCUUGGUGGAGGGUGUCUUGGAUAUGGUUCUGGUAUUGACAUCUUGUGCAUAUUCUAGUCACCCAAAUGAUCUGAAAUUCAAUACGAUGGAGGCAUGGACCUUUUACCCCAAGUGCCUUUUUUUGUCUCAGAUCGUAGGAUAUGGGAAACCUUCUAGUCAAUCAUAUUUUGGAGAUUAUUUUCUGGGAAUACUAUCUAUAUAUGCCUUUCAAGUAGUAAACCAGGGAAUGGUGGAUUUAGAUGAGAGAAGAAUAUUAUUAAUGUUUAAGGGAGGCCAUGCAUUAGAAGUGAAAUUUAAAAAACAAAAUUAUAAAAUAUUUUAUAUUUUGAAGAAAUUUUACAGGGGGGCUAUGUAGCACCGGAGCUUUCUGGUGAGCUAAAUGAUAUGCCUCUUAACAGAUACCAUCUACAGUAUAUUUUAGUCCUUAGCAUCACAAGGGGAUAAAACUAUUUUCCAAAAAAAAUGUUGUCAUUAUCUAUGAUUAUAGACUAUAUGCAUAUUAGUGAAGAAAUUAGUGCAAACAACUUUCCUCUAUCUCUUGUGCUCAGAAAUCGGAACUAUAUGUAUGAUAAAGAAGAACGUUAUCCAACUUGAAUAAAAUGAAACUUGGCCAUAAUUGUCUGAAAUAGUGGUAUACUCUGCUCACGGGUGGUGUGGAGGAUAUUUGGUUAAAAUUAGACCAUGUGGUGUGGAGAGACUGCAAAUGAAUUUUAAACUUUGUAGUACUACAAAGGGUAGCAUCGAGGGUGACUACACGUUCAAUUGACCAUUUUCUGCGUCAAAAGUUUAUUUAUAAUUGAGUUUAUAAAUUUUACAUGAUUUGAGUACAUCCAGGUACAUGUCCUCCACAUUAUUAAAAGUGGCGAGGGAAAAUAGCUCAGUUGUUGCUGUUGUUGGAGAGGCUCAUCUACAGGGAAUAAAGAAGCAUUGGAAGCAACCUGUAGUGAUGGAGGAUCUUAUGACAGUGCCAUGAGCUAUAUCUACAAUAAGAAUCUGACAUCAUGCAUCUAUCUUCAUCCAUAAAAUAACUUUCGUAGGAGAUGCUGUCAUCCUGAACUGAACGUGGGUUUAGGAAUUGAAAUGUGUUACAGUUCACGUAUGCUAUAUAAUCCUAUUUUCGUAUCAAGAAUAACUAUUUUCUUUAAGCUUUGCCUAGAAAAUCAAAUUCCAAGCUCAAUGCGAUUACCGAUGGGAAAGGAUGGUUUUCAUUUAAGCUUUUGAUGUAAUUAGAUGAAUGGAGAUGAUAAAACUGUUAACACUAAAUUCAUCAACACAUCCUCACUUCCAUUCAUGGAUACUUCACUAUCUUUUAAUUUUUUUUUUCUUUUUUUUAUAAAUACAAAAGUUCAUUUUAA